GAUGAAGAACGUAGCGAAAUGCGAUAAGUAAUGUGAAUUGCAGAAUUCAGUGAAUCAUCGAAUCUUUGAACGCACAUUGCGCCCGCCAGUAUUCUGGCGGGCAUGCCUGUUCGAGCGUCAUUUCAACCAUCAAGCCCCCGGCUUGUGUUGGGGACCUGCGGCUGCCGCAGGCCCUGAAAACCAGUGGCGGGCUCGGUAGUCACUCCGAGCGUAGUAAUACAUCUCGCUCAGGGCGUGCUGCGGGUUCCGGCCGUUAAAAAGCCUUAUUUACCCAAGGUUGACCUCGGAUCAGGUAGGAAGACCCGCUGAACUUAAGCAUAUCAAUAAGCGGAGGA
rnacentral:misc_RNA from 1 species